GGAUCCAGAGGACAGGGGUCCAACAUGAUGGUGUUGGGGUCGCUCACUGUCACGGCACCGUAAGACCCGUCAAAGUCGACGUCCUCGUCCUGAAAUCUCUGGUUGUAUUCCGCACUUUGAGACCGGCCCACGCGCGAAACAAAGGGUCCUCUCCGGCCGCACACACCCCCUCGAGAAACCUGGUUUCCAAUCGCAUAAUCCAGAUGCAGCCGGGCCCCUCUCUGCGCUAUCAGCCGCCGAUCUCGAGCACAGGAAAUAAAAAAAAGCACUGACGUCAGGCGGUCUGGAGCGGGACAAGGGAGGACAGGACGGGCUGCGGCGGUGGGUGACUCAGGCCUGUCGUCAAGCCCCCGCCGCACCCCCCCUCCCCUUGAAACACAGCCAUUAAACUAAUGGGACACUCCAGGCUGUGCCAACUUGCUUCGCGGCAGAGGGAUGCCCCCACCGCCCGCCGGGGUACUAGGGCGAGGCAGGCCACUGCGGGGUGGAGCCAGGGAGCGUCCGGGUGUGGAACCGGCGACAGAGCCGGGGUUGACCGUGGCCUUGACGGGCUGCCUCAAGGCGAGAGGCGAGGGCGUGGCCGGAGUCCGCAGCUUACUGGACGCUGGAACUGAGGAGCGGAAAGACAACAUGACACGACACACCUGGAUGGAAGCUAAGUGAUAAAUGUUGUCAUGACGAGCGUGACAAAGAAUUGAACAAUGUCAGGAACAAAACAUGAAGUAUGUCUUCAUCCACCACGCUUACCAUGAGAAAAAAUUCUGCCUAAACUGGGUGGCAUCAUUACCUCUGCCAAGGAGGCUAUGCGUUUUUAAACUUUUCCUUAUUAUUAUUGUUUAAUGCAGGCGUGUCAAACUCAUUUUAGAUCGGGGGCCACAUGGAGAAAAAUCUACUCCCAAGUGGGCCGGACUGGUAAAAUCACAGUACGAUAACUUAAAAAUAAAGACAACUUCAGAUUGUUUUCUUUGUUUAAAAAUAGAACGAGCACAUUCUGAAAAUGUGCAAAUCAUAAUGUUGUUGUUUUUUUACACUUACAUGUUGCGGUUAAUAGUAUUCUACCUUUAUUUGUCGUUAUUUAUAUUUUCAAUCUAUCAAGCUAAAAAAAAGUAUAUCAAAAUCAAAUUACAGCACGAUAUUUAUGUAGUUUGAUCAUUUUCCUUUACUGAAGUGGUGACAUGUGGUUUAUUUUGUACAUAUGUGGCAUCAUCUACAAAGAUACAAAGAAUUGCUAUUGCGUCAUCCAGUGGACACAUUUAGAACAGCUGUUUCUUUCAUUCAAAAAUUUGCAGUUAAUUUUUAUACUUAGCAAACUCAUCUGGCGGCCCGGAUAAAACCUGUUCGCGGGCCUGAGCCGGCCCUCACGUUUGACACCCCUAGUUUAAUGCUUAAUAGUUUUUCUAACAAAAUGUAUAACUUCAAGCUACUGUGUCACCGACUCAGAAUUACAAGAAAUAAACCAACAUGUAGGAAUAGUUGUUUAAAAGAUCAGAUAAAAUAUGGAUGUUCUGGCUGAAUAAGAUGACUGGUGUUCAUGGCUGACACUCACAUCUGUCUCGCACAUGCGCAUGCCCGUCGCACGUGCACAUACACAAAAGGGAUAUAUGAGAACGAAGGGAUUUUGAAAAACGGAUCGCAUGGUUGCGAUAGUCCUGUUUGACCGGUUAGUAUAAUUAUACCCGUUUUUAAAAUACCGGUGGAUAUAAUACUUGCAGCUUGUUUCAAAGUUAGCGCACUCUGUGGAUGGUUGGUUCUUAGAAUGCAUGAACCUAAACAACAAAAGUAUAUAUGCAGAGGUUAGGUAUUGUGUUUAAUAUGUGUUUUAACUUGCACAGUAUCGGCUCGGCGCAGGUGUACUGAGAACAUGGCGCACUGGUGGAAGUCUGCCAUCGACCGAGUGCCAUUCCGGUUCUUACUGUGAUGACAUGCGCGACACAGACACACACAACCACGCUGAGGGGGAGCCACACAAACAUGACAACAUCAACAACAACAAGAGUCAUGAGCCAGUCAGUAAAUACUCACUAAAGUCACCUUCGUCGCCAAAGCAACAGGAAAGCGGGACUAGACAAAGACAACAGAGACAGG